ACUACGGUGCUGAAGUAACAAAUGCCCUGCUUCCAGGAAAAGCCUCUAAGCAUCAGGUAACAUCAAAUCGUACCCCAAACCGACACAGGUGGUCAGGUAGAGAAUACCAAGGCGCUUGAGAGAACUCGGGUGAAGGAACUAGGCAAAAUGGUGCCGUAACUUCGGGAGAAGGCACGCUGGUGUGUAGGUGAAGUCCCUGCGGAUGGAGCUGAGACCAGUCGAAGAUACCAGCUGGCUGCAACUGUUUAUUAAAAACACAGCACUGUGCAAACACGAAAGUGGACGUAUACGGUGUGACGCCUGCCCGGUGCCGGAAGGUUAAUUGAUGGGGUUAUCCGUAAGGAGAAGCUCUUGAUCGAAGCCCCGGUAAACGGCGGCCGUAACUAUAACGGUCCUAAGGUAGCGAAAUUCCUUGUCGGGUAAGUUCCGACCUGCACGAAUGGCGUAAUGAUGGCCAGGCUGUCUCCACCCGAGACUCAGUGAAAUUGAACUCGCUGUGAAGAUGCAGUGUACCCGCGGCAAGACGGAAAGACCCCGUGAACCUUUACUAUAGCUUGACACUGAACAUUGAGCCUUGAUGUGUAGGAUAGGUGGGAGGCUUUGAAGCGUGGACGCCAGUCUGCGUGGAGCCAACCUUGAAAUACCACCCUUUAAUGUUUGAUGUUCUAACGUUGGCCCCUGACCGGGGUUGCGGACAGUGUCUGGUGGGUAGUUUGACUGGGGCGGUCUCCUCCCAAAGCGUAACGGAGGAGCACGAAGGUUAGCUAAUCCUGGUCGGACAUCAGGAGGUUAGUGCAAUGGCAUAAGCUAGCUUGACUGCGAGCGUGACGGCGCGAGCAGGUGCGAAAGCAGGUCAUAGUGAUCCGGUGGUUCUGAAUGGAAGGGCCAUCGCUCAACGGAUAAAAGGUACUCCGGGGAUAACAGGCUGAUACCGCCCAAGAGUUCAUAUCGACGGCGGUGUUUGGCACCUCGAUGUCGGCUCAUCACAUCCUGGGGCUGAAGUAGGUCCCAAGGGUAUGGCUGUUCGCCAUUUAAAGUGGUACGCGAGCUGGGUUUAGAACGUCGUGAGACAGUUCGGUCCCUAUCUGCCGUGGGCGCUGGAGAAUUGAGGGGGGCUGCUCCUAGUACGAGAGGACCGGAGUGGACGCAUCACUGGUGUUCGGGUUGUCAUGCCAAUGGCACUGCCCGGUAGCUAAAUGCGGAAGAGAUAAGUGCUGAAAGCAUCUAAGCACGAAACUUGCCCCGAGAUGAGUUCUCCCUGAGACUUUAAGUCUCCUGAAGGAACGUUGAAGACGACGACGUUGAUAGGCCGGGUGUGUAAGCGCAGCGAUGCGUUGAGCUAACCGGUACUAAUGAACCGUGAGGCUUAACCUUACAACGCCGAAG
rnacentral:rRNA from 1 species